rnacentral:rRNA from 1 species
AGUGAACGCUGGCGGUAGGCCUAACACAUGCAAGUCGAACGGCAGCACAGUAAGAGCUUGCUCUUACGGGUGGCGAGUGGCGGACGGGUGAGGAAUACAUCGGAAUCUACUUUUUCGUGGGGGAUAACGUAGGGAAACUUACGCUAAUACCGCAUACGACCUACGGGUGAAAGCAGGGGAUCUUCGGACCUUGCGCGAUUGAAUGAGCCGAUGUCGGAUUAGCUAGUUGGCGGGGUAAAGGCCCACCAAGGCGACGAUCCGUAGCUGGUAUGAGAGGAUGAUCAGCCACACUGGAACUGAGACACGGUCCAGACUCCUACGGGAGGCAGCAGUGGGGAAUAUUGGACAAUGGGCGCAAGCCUGAUCCAGCCAUACCGCGUGGGUGAAGAAGGCCUUCGGGUUUUAAAGCCCUUUUGUUGGGAAAGAAAAGCAGCAGGUUAAUACCCCGCUGUUCUGACGGUACCCAAAGAAUAAGCACCGGCUAACUUCGUA